UGGGGAAUAUUGCACAAUGGGCGAAAGCCUGAUGCAGCGACGCCGCGUGCGGGAUGAAGGCCUUCGGGUUGUAAACCGCUUUUAAUUGGGAGCAAGCGAGAGUGAGUGUACCUUUUGAAUAAGCACCGGCUAACUACGUGCCAGCAGCCGCGGUAAUACGUAGGGUGCAAGCGUUAUCCGGAAUUAUUGGGCGUAAAGAGCUCGUAGGCGGUUUGUCACGCCUGGUGUGAAAGUCCAUCGCUUAACGGUGGAUCUGCGCCGGGUACGGGCAGGCUAGAGUGCAGUAGGGGAGAUUGGAAUUCCCGGUGUAACGGUGGAAUGUGUAGAUAUCGGGAAGAACACCAAUGGCGAAGGCAGAUCUCUGGGCUGUUACUGACGCUGAGGAGCGAAAGCAUGGGGAGCGAACAGGAUUAGAUACCCGUGGUAGUCCAUGCCGUAAACGGU
rnacentral:rRNA from 1 species